rnacentral:rRNA from 1 species
GGAUCAAUUUGCUGGUCGUGCCUCUGGUACGUACUGGUAUUAUUGGUUUCUUCCUUCUGACGACCUUGAUGUCAUUAAUUUGGUGUCUUGGGGAAUCAGGACUGUUACUUUGAAGAAAUUAGAGUGUUUAAAGCAAGCUAACGCUUGAAUACAUUAGCAUGGAAUAAUGAAAUAGGACGUUCGAUCCUAUUUCGUUGGUUUCUAGGAUUGACGUA